UAGAGUAAUGUCUGUUGUAAACGGCGGCGUUAACGUGAGCGUCCUAAGGUAGCGCGAUAAUUUGCUUUUCAAUUGAAGGAUGGUAUGAAAGGGUUAACGAAGAAGGUGCUGUGUCUAAAAAUUCAAUUUAAACUAACUUUAAGGUGAAGAGGCCUUUAUGUAAAAGAAGGACGACAAGACCCUAUGAAGCUUUAUCUUAAUUGGAGCUUUCAGGCUCUUAUACGAUUUUGAUGGGAGAUCAGUAGAAAUAAGUCUUCUACUAUCAUAUUAAUCUUACUAGUAUUUCCUAACUUUAUAUGUGUGGCUAGCUACUCUAGGGAUAACAGCGCAAUUUCUCCCGAAAGAUGGUAUUGGAGGGGAAGAUUGCGACCUCGAUGUUGGCUUUAGAUAUCCUAGA
rnacentral:rRNA from 1 species